rnacentral:rRNA from 1 species
UUGUAGGCUGCAACUCGCCUACAUGAAGUCGGAAUUGCUAGUAAUCGCGGAUCAGCAUGCCGCGGUGAAUACGUUCCCGGGCCUUGUACACACCGCCCGUCACACCAUGGGAGUCGGUAACACCCGAAGCCUGUAGUCUAACCGCAAGGAGGACGCAGUCGAAGGUGGGAUUGAUGACUGGGGUGAAGUCGUAACAAGGUAAC